AUUGAACGCUGGCGGCAGGCUUAACACAUGCAAGUCGAACGAGUGGCGGACGGGUGAGUAAUGCUUGGGAAUCUAGCUUAUGGAGGGGGAUAACUACGGGAAACUGUAGCUAAUACCGCGUACCAUAGGAUGAGCCCAAGUGGGAUUAGGUAGUUGGUGGGGUAAAGGCUCACCAAGCCGACGAUCUCUAGCUGGUCUGAGAGGAUGACCGGCAACAUGUGGAAUGAGACACGGCCCAGACUCCUACGGGAGGCAGCAGUGGGGAAUCUUCCGAAAUGGACGGAAGUUGACGGCGCAACGGCGCGGGAGUGAAGACGGCCUUCGGGUUGUAAAGCUCUGUUAAUCGGAAGACGGUACCGGAAUAGAAAGCCACGGCUAACUACGUGCCAGCCGCCGCGGUAAUUC
rnacentral:rRNA from 1 species